AAGCCAUGGUGAAGGCACCUUUUCAAUAAAUACUUAUAUCUCUCCCAUGCAUCAUAAAGUGUUCAUAAAUACAUCUGCAUAAAAAAAGAGAUAUCAUUCCUUAACUU
rfam:Gossypium arboreum cultivar AKA8401 contig_21175_7, whole genome shotgun sequence.